GGCGGCAGCUUCUCUUCCUUCCUCUCCCCCCUCUUCCUCUUCCUCCUCCUCCUCCUCCUCUGCUUCCUCUUCCUCCUCCUCCUCUUCCUCCCCCUCCGUCUCCUCUUCCUCCUUCACCUUCCCCCGGGAGCCUUCGGCCUCCGAGGACUCUCCUUCCUCCUCCUCUUCCUCCUCCUCUUCUUCCUCUUCCUCUUCUUCCUCCUCAUCUUCCUCUUCCUCCUCUUCCUCCUCCUCUUCCUCCUCCUCCCGCUUCUUCCCCUGGGGAGGAAGAUUUUGGGGGGGGGGUUUGGAAUUCUGGGACCUCCCAAAAAUAUCCCUGGAGAAUUCCAGGGGGGGUUUCCCUUUUCCUGCCCUUCCUCUUCUUCCUCCUCCUCUUCCCCCUUUUAGGGACUUUCCCCCUUUUCCUGCCCUUCCUCUUCCUCCUCCUCUUCCUCCUUUCAGGGGAGUUUUCCCCUUCUUCCUCCUCCUCUUCCUCUUCCUCCUCCUCUUCCUCUUCCUCCUUUCAGGGGGGUUUUUCCCCUUUCCUGUCUUUCUUCCUCCUCCUCUUCCUCUUCCCCCUUUCAGGCACUUUCCCCCUUUUCCUGCCCUUCUUCCUCCUCCUCUUCCUCUUCCCCCUUCCAAGGGGGUUUUCCCCUUUUCCUGCCCUUCCUCUUCCUUCUCCUCUUCCUCCUCCUCUUCCUCUUCCUCCUUUUAGGGACUUUCCCCCUUUUCCUUCUCUUCCUCUUCCUCUUUCUCCUCUUAGGGACUUUUUCCCUUUUCCUCCUCUUCCUCCUUUCAGGCACUUUUCUCCCUUUUCCUUCUCUUCUUCGUGCUCUUCUUCCUCCUCCUCCUCCUGCUCUUCCUUCUUCUCUUCCUCUUCCUCCUCUUUCUCUUCCCCUUUCCUGGUCCUUUUCCUGUCCCUUUUCCAGCCCUUUUUCUGUCCCUUUCCUGUCUCUUUUCCAGCCUUUUCCCCAUUCCCAUUCCUGUGCCUUUUCCUGUCUCUUUUUCCAUCCCUUUUCCAGCCCUUUUCCUGUCCUUUUCCAGCCCUUUUCCUGUCCCUUUCCCAGCCCUUUUCCCAUCCCUUUCUUGUCUCUUUUCCAGCCCUUUUCCUGGCCCUUUUCCUGUUGCUUUCCUGUCCCUUUCCUGUCUCUUUUCCAGCCCUUUUCCUGGCCCUUUUCCUGUCCCUUUCCUGUCUCUUUUCUGGCCCUUUUCCAGCCCUUUUCCUGUCCCUUUCCCGUCUCUUUUCCCAUCCGUUUUCCCGCCCCUUUCCUGUCUCUUUUCCAGCCCUUUUCCUGUCCCUUUUCCAGCCCUUUUCCUGUCCCUUUUCCAGUCCCUUUCCUAUCUCUUUUCCAGCCCUUUUCCUGUUCCUUUUCCCAUCCCUUUUCCAGCCCUUUCCUGUCCCUUUUCCAGCCCUUUUCCUGUCCCUUUCCCGUCUCUUUUCCCAUCCGUUUCCCGCCCCUUUCCUGUCUCUUUUCCAGCCCUUUUCCUCUCCCUUUUCCAGCCCUUUUCCUGUCCCUUUUCCAUCCCUUUUCCAGCCCUUUUCCUGUCCUUUUCCUGUCCCUUUCCUGUCCCUUUUCCACCCCUUUUCCUGUCCCUUUCCUGCCCCUUUCCCAUCCCUUUUCCUGUCCCUUUCCAGCCCUUUUCCUGACCCUUUUCCCGUCCCUUUUUUGUCCCUUUCCCCCUUUCCCACCCUGCUGUUCCUGCUGCUCCCGCUGCUCCUGUUUUCCAUGUUUUCCUGCCUCUGGCAGAAGUGCUGGAUGACCCUGUCCAGGCUCUGCAGGGCCACGCGCCGGUUCCUCCGCAGCCGCUGCGCCAGCGCCGGGUCCGACAGCGCCGGGUCCGUGCCUGGAAAGCCACACAAAUUCCAUGUUCUCCGCAGCCCACGCCCAUUCCAGGACCUUUUCCC
rnacentral:lncRNA from 1 species